AAAUUGAAGAGUUUGAUCAUGGCUCAGAUUGAACGCUGGCGGCAGGCCUAACACAUGCAAGUCGAGCGGUAGCACAGAGAGCUUGCUCUCGGGUGACGAGCGGCGGACGGGUGAGUAAUGUCUGGGAAACUGCCUGAUGGAGGGGGAUAACUACUGGAAACGGUAGCUAAUACCGCAUAACGUCGCAAGACCAAAGUGGGGGACCUUCGGGCCUCAUGCCAUCAGAUGUGCCCAGAUGGGAUUAGCUGGUAGGUGGGGUAACGGCUCACCUAGGCGACGAUCCCUAGCUGGUCUGAGAGGAUGACCAGCCACACUGGAACUGAGACACGGUCCAGACUCCUACGGGAGGCAGCAGUGGGGAAUAUUGCACAAUGGGCGCAAGCCUGAUGCAGCCAUGCCGCGUGUGUGAAGAAGGCCUUCGGGUUGUAAAGCACUUUCAGCGGGGAGGAAGGCGGUGAGGUUAAUAACCUCACCGAUUGACGUUACCCGCAGAAGAAGCACCGGCUAACUCCGUGCCAGCAGCCGCGGUAAUACGGAGGGUGCAAGCGUUAAUCGGAAUUACUGGGCGUAAAGCGCACGCAGGCGGUCUGUCAAGUCGGAUGUGAAAUCCCCGGGCUCAACCUGGGAACUGCAUUCGAAACUGGCAGGCUAGAGUCUUGUAGAGGGGGGUAGAAUUCCAGGUGUAGCGGUGAAAUGCGUAGAGAUCUGGAGGAAUACCGGUGGCGAAGGCGGCCCCCUGGACAAAGACUGACGCUCAGGUGCGAAAGCGUGGGGAGCAAACAGGAUUAGAUACCCUGGUAGUCCACGCUGUAAACGAUGUCGAUUUGGGGGUUGUGCCCUUGAGGCGUGGCUUCCGGAGCUAACGCGUUAAAUCGACCGCCUGGGGAGUACGGCCGCAAGGUUAAAACUCAAAUGAAUUGACGGGGGCCCGCACAAGCGGUGGAGCAUGUGGUUUAAUUCGAUGCAACGCGAAGAACCUUACCUGGUCUUGACAUCCACAGAACUUAGCAGAGAUGCUUUGGUGCCUUCGGGAACUGUGAGACAGGUGCUGCAUGGCUGUCGUCAGCUCGUGUUGUGAAAUGUUGGGUUAAGUCCCGCAACGAGCGCAACCCUUAUCCUUUGUUGCCAGCGGUCCGGCCGGGAACUCAAAGGAGACUGCCAGUGAUAAACUGGAGGAAGGUGGGGAUGACGUCAAGUCAUCAUGGCCCUUACGACCAGGGCUACACACGUGCUACAAUGGCAUAUACAAAGAGAAGCGACCUCGCGAGAGCAAGCGGACCUCAUAAAGUAUGUCGUAGUCCGGAUUGGAGUCUGCAACUCGACUCCAUGAAGUCGGAAUCGCUAGUAAUCGUAGAUCAGAAUGCUACGGUGAAUACGUUCCCGGGCCUUGUACACACCGCCCGUCACACCAUGGGAGUGGGUUGCAAAAGAAGUAGGUAGCUUAACCUUCGGGAGGGCGCUUACCACUUUGUGAUUCAUGACUGGGGUGAAGUCGUAACAAGGUAACCGUAGGGGAACCUGCGGUUGGAUCACCUCCUUACCUUAAAGAA
rnacentral:rRNA from 1 species